UCCCAUCCCAUCCUUCAAAUUACCCGGGAAGCAAGAAGGCAAGCUCUCCCACAGAGUUCCCCUCUCUCCUCCACUUCCCAGGACUAUCACCUAGGAUUAGGACCAUAUUUUAGGAAGACGGCUUCAGGAGCCCUCUGGAGACAUUUGGCUGAAAGAAGGCAGGAAGGAAGGAAGGCCCCAUUUUCCCUGAUUCAGUCUUAUUCCACACAUCUCCAAAAUCAAAUUGUAGAGUCCAAAAAAGAAGGAGCUAUCUCUCAGUAUUCUGGUUUUGGGUUUUGGUGUUUUUGUGUGGGUUUUUUGUCCUAAGUUCAGCAAGUGUUUGAAUCUUAUUUCUCUUUGCACACUCCUGUUUCUCUCCAGAUCUCAGUUACUUCUGCUGAUUUCUUCCACUAGACUGACUUCGUUCUAAUAAAGAAGAAUCAACGUAUACAAAGUGC